UGCUGUUGGAAUGGUACCUAGGUGUCGAGAUGAUAUCUCUAACACGGUGGAUUUACACAGCACCAUGCUUCACAGAAGCCUAAUUGUGUUGUUGUUUUAAAGACAAGCUGGUGCCAAAGACCUGGCUUUCUGCAGAGGAUGCCAGAUGGUUACCUUGGAAAAUCGCUUCUCAGAAACAGAGUUUAUUGGCUUCUGUUGGCCUUUUACUUUACCAUAAGAUUUCAGAAUCAGCUUGUCCAGAUCCUCAAAAAUUCAUGGUGACAAGUUCUUGCUUCCCCAGUGAGAAGCCCUAUGUCUGUGAAAGCCACACAUCCAUUGUUCUGCCGUGUAUGUUUCUGAGGACAAGAAGUGAUUAUCUCCAAGCCUGGGGCUUCAGGAACAGCAAUAUCAGACUACACAAAUGGACCCAAUAUUAACUGAAGACUGAAUGGAAGCAGGAGAAAGGCUGAAGUAGCAAUACUUAAUGUCAGAUGAAAUAGACUUGAAAAUAAAGACUGUAACAAAAGACAAAGGUGUUACUGUACAUAAUGAUCAAGAGGUCAAUACUUCAA